rnacentral:ribozyme from 11 species
AGGUGACUUGUUCUUAUUUUUUUGUUUGUGUUUAUUCUUAUUCUUGUUCUUUUUCUUCUGUUUGUUGGAA